rnacentral:lncRNA from 1 species
ACAUGCACAAGUAUCGAACAUUGGCUACGGCUCUCCACCGCUGCCUCUUUUGAUCAAAAUUUGAAGCCGUAUCGCAGGAGGCGGGACUGGAUUAUGGCUACCCCUGUUAUGCACCACCCCAUAAAAUGCCAUGUAUAACUAAAUUGAUACACCGGCAGUGCUGGGUGCACGUACAGUACGUGAAUUACAAUUUCUCAAUCAGCUCUUUCCAUCUUUCCGAUCCUUCAAAGCCUUUUGAGAAUCGGCAAACAGGCUCCUCAACUCAUAUUUUCUUGCCAUUUUUUCAUUUUGCAUGUUUAAUGACUGUUAAGUGCAUUCAUUUCAGCUAGAGCACAAGCCGCUGAUGAAUUGUUGCUUAUAGGACGACCAGCUUCUUGGCAUUUCUUGAUGACGGCCACUGUUGUUAAGACUUUGAUCUCCUGUAUUGGCCUUUAGUCGGACCGAGAGAGAACACUAUUUCCUUGGCAUCAGAGGCUACUUUGGUACUGUGCAUCACUGGUUCACGAACGACUAUGACAUGGUAGUAGACCCAUUGCUACCAACAAAAUGAAUACUCCCAACCAACACGGCUCUUUUCAACCAAUUAAGUUGUGCUUCUACUCAAGGCAGAUUGAAGUGAUUGCUUGGCUGAAAAAACAGUUUGACAGAGAGACAAGAGCAAGCUAGUCCCUGGAUGCCUUUCUCUGGAGUGUAACAAAUCAGAGAUAUCUUAUCACUGGUGACACUACUCAACAGCCAGAGCACAAGCCACUGAUAAGUCAUUGCUUUCAGGAUGACCAGCUUCUUAGCCAAUGGCCAUCUUGAUGAUGGCCAAUGUUGUAGAGGUGAUUGUACUGUGAUCUCUUGCUGUAGCUUUCUAAGUAAAAUACCGUGAUCUCCUGUAUUGGCCUUUAGUUGGACCGAGAGAGAACACCAUUUUCUUGGCAUCAGAUGCUCCUUUGGUAAUAACUGUGCAUCAUUGUUCAUGAACAACUAGGACAUGCAAGAGGUGCAGCCCCAUUACUACCAACAAAAUGAAUACUCCCAACCAACAUGGCGCUUUUCAACCAAUUAAGUUGUGCUUCUACUCAAGGCAGAUUGAAGAGAUUGUUUGGCUGAAAAAUUAGGUGGGAUUGUUUAAAUAUAGCCCCAGAUCAACACUUUUUGUUUUGCGGUCUUGCAUCUGUAGAUGGUUGAAAACAGAUCUGAAGACCUGCAGAAAGUAGAUAGAUGUAAUUUGUUAAACCACUGCUGACAAGUCUGAGGAAAAGGCCCUUCCUUUCAAUGAUGUUUCAAUUGAUAGCAAAGUGCAAUCUACAUUUGGAAAUGGUGGCCUCCAUGAGUGUGUAGUAAUACAGCUUGGAAUUAAAACAUGGUUU